UCUGCGCAAAGAGUUUGAAUAUGCAGAUGUUUGGUCCGACAGAUCAACAAAACCUUUCGCUGCAUUAUAUUCAACAAUAGUUCGAGGGCUAAAAGUCAUAGUAGCGUAUCUACAAAAACCCAACUUUUCAGGAGAGCAAAAAACAACUAUGAGUCCACACUAUUUCUGAGGUCUGUAUUAAUUUCAACAACCUAUAAUUCACAUAUCAAUGUUGUAUGAAUCUUAUGCUUCUACCAGUGCGUUCAUUUCGAUGAAUUAUUGAAAAUUCAAUUAAAUAAAAUUGAAAAUGAAAUACCUUGUUCUAGUUACGCUAUUGUGACCGUAAUCAAUUUCCAAAAAUGUAUCAUUUUCUGGAGAUAAGCUAUUCUGAGAGUGAUCAGUUAUGAAUAGUAACAAUUUAUUAAAUUGUUCCAUGUAUUUUAUAGAUGUUUAUUGACAUUCAAUAACAAAAUAUGAGAGAUAUAUGAUAAUAUAUAAAAAGUAUAGAAAAUCACAGGUGCCUAAUAAGUAGGUACAGCAUUAUUGAAGGACUGGAAAAUUAAGUACUGAAAUGAAAUUAUAAUGCUCUAAGAAUGAUUGAGAAUAACAAAAUAUGAAACAAUAACAUUAAAACUAAAUUCAAAAAUUCCAGUCUCUUCAUAUAACACUUGAAUCAAACUUGAAAAUGUUACUAUCUUCAAUGACUACAGCCUAUAGAUAUUUAUCACCAAAACUCAUCAUUUCUCAAUGUCAUUUUCUUUAAAGGACUGGAAAAGUAAAUACUAAAAUACAAUAAAAAUACUCUGAGAAUGACUGAAAAUCACAUAAUAUUAUGAAACAAUUACACUAAAAUUACAUUGGAAUCUCUCUCAAUGACUCUCUUCAAAUUAUUCACUCUCUUCAAUGAAUAUAAUAGGCUAUUUAUCAACAAAGCUCAUCAUUUUAUGCAGGUGGAAAUACAGGUGGUCCAUAACAAUGCUCUCAUAGACCAUGGCAAUUACAGACUGUAUUGUAAUAGGUCUAUAGUUUUUUACAUCACCUCGAUCUCCAGAUUUGUAUAUAGGUACCAAGAAACUGUUUUUGAAAUCUCUGGGGAAGACACCAAGCUCCAGCAAGGCAGAGCCAGUAUGGCCAGGUGAAUGGCCACAACAGAAAAACCUAAUUACAGGAAGGGAUAUUCCAUCAGGCCCAGUUCCUCUGCCAACAUUCAGAGCUUCCAAUCUGCGUUGAAUAUUGAUUGGAGUAAUGCAGCAGGAUGGAACUAGCUGGUUUCAACCAAAAUCAAAUGUCGGGACAUUAACCGUGUCCUGCACAAAAAUAGAUGAAAAAUAAUCAGCGAUGAGUUUACACUACUUAUCAACAGGAGUUGCAGCACUUCUUGUGCCCAGUCUCAUAAAAGUAGGUCUGGCUGAGCCUUUUCUCGAACCAUCCACAUGAGUCCAGAAAGAUUUAGAAUAUUUUGUCUAAACAAAUUCCUCUAAUCCAAGUAAAUAGUUAUUGUAUAACACCUUCUUGUCAAAACACGACAUUGAACCCUCAAAUUGCAAAAAACUUCAUAGAGCUGAAUACUACCAAUUGCCUUAUACUUUCUAUGAGCAGUUUUCUUGGCUACAAUCAAUCUUCUUAAUUCAAUGGAACCACUUAGGGAAACUAGAGACAUGAACCUUUUUCAUGAGUGUGAACCUCUUGAUGGUCAAGCUCAUAUACCUACAGAAAUUACUGAAAUGUUCCUCAGCUCUAAUGUUAUCAUCAAAAUUUGCAACUGGGUAAUUCAUAUUCUGAAACUCUAAAAAUAUGGAAGCUAAAUCGCACUUGUGAAAAUCAGGUAUUUGUUUUACAUAGCAGGGUUGUGUCCACCUCCUGUUCCAGGAGUAUGUGAUGAGUGCCUUUGAGGAUGCCUGCCAGGUCGAUUGUCUUUAUUUAGACCUCUCAAAGGCCCUCGACAGAGUUAACCACUCUCUCCUGGUUGCCAAACUGGAUGAUUAUGAGGUGCAUGUGUCAUGCUCAAGUGGUUAAACAGCCAUCUGAGGGACAGAACUCUGAUUGUCAGAACUCUGAGGGUCAUAUGUCAUCUCCUUUCCUGGCUCCCUCUGGAGUCCCUUAGGGAUCCCAUUUGGGCCCCUCCUCUUCAAUUUGUUUAUGAACGACAUUAAAAGCUUCAUAUCAUCCAUGUUUCUAAUGUAUGCUGAUGAUGUCAAGUUAUUCGAAAGGGUAUUGCAAGACUUAGGACAUGAAUCUCUGCAGAAUUCUCUCAACAACCUUGAUUUGUGGUGCCUUGAUAAUGGUAUGGCUCUGAAUGUAUCCAAGUGUGUUGUAAUGUCUUUCAAGCGUGGAACAAGUAUACAUGAUUCUCAAUACUCCUUGAGAUGCAUUCCUUUGAAAAGAGUAUGCAGCUUCAAGGACCUUGGAGUGACUAUGACUCAGUCUCUUAGCCCACUGGAUCACAUAAGUGUGAUCACUGGAGAGGCUAGAUCUCUCCUUGGCUUUAUAUUUAGGUCUACCAGGGAUUUCAGUUCUCCGAGAGUGUCUUGGUUUUGUUUAGGGCUCUUGUUCUUCCAGUGUUGGAAUAUGGCUCUAUUAUUAUGAAUAUUAUCCGUGCACCAUUCAAUCUAUACCAGAUUAACCUGGUGCAAAGUGUGGAGAGACGUUUUGUGAGGAUGCUGAGCUGCAGGAUGGGUUUCAAGUACUUUGAAGUUCCUGUGGAGGAGAUUAAGGGACAGACCAUCUCCUCCCUUCGGUUCUGAGGUGGGAACACAACGACCUGGUCCUUCUUUUCAAGACUGUCAAUGGAUAUUUGGACUGCCCUGAACUUCUGGCUAGUAUUAACAUCUGUGUUCCAAGAGGAAUGUGUUCAAGGUUCUAUUUUCCGCAGAUGCUCUCACACAACCUAUGCCUAUGAUAGUGGGCUUUCUAGAAUACUUCGCUCUGGUUGUGAGGCUGCUGCAGCUGAUGUUGAUUUCUUUGGGGUGUCCUUGGGCUUUCUCAGGAGAACUAUGAAGAGAUACCUGCAUGUGUGAUUUUGGUGUUCCCUUCCUUGUUUAUACCCCUUGUGGUAAACUUCCAUGGGCCUUUUCACUUAUAUGUAAUAUUGUAUGUUAACUAUGAUUCAUUCUGUAUUCUAAUUUUUGUCUUUCAAACUAUCCACAGAUGUUUUUUUAUUGUUGUAUAUUAUUAUUUAUCUAUAUAUUCUUCGCUUGUAUCUCUUUUUCUAUGUUAUUUUCAUGUGUAAUUCGUGUUCUACCGUUGGAAGUUGAAUGAAUGAAUAAAUAAAUAAAUAAACUUUCUUCCAACUUACAAUCAUCAGCUUCCUUCAAGCAUUUCUUUGCCAACUCACACGAAAAAAACUCCUCUGUUUUUCGUGAUCAUUGAUCAGAAUAAAACACAAACAGGAAAAAAUACAGAAGCUAGUCUGAUUAUCUUGUUGAAUCAAGACUUAUGGGCUAUGAAAGUUAUGUUGGCAUUGAUUUUGUGAGCUUUUACACGCUCAAAGUUACAGUCACACUAGCGUAAGUUGACACAUAAGCUAUUAUGUAGGUCACUAACUGAAGCGUAACUGAAGAUAAGCUUUUGUGUCAUUCAGUUUUGUUCAAGUCAAAGAAGCGUAACAGAACAUAAGCUUUUGUGUCAUUUAUUUCAUCACCCGAUUGUAGAUACGAUAUCCACUCAUCUUUCCAAUGGCUAAUGCAAUGAGAUAAGCGUGUGUGUCACUAAAUAGACCACGAAAAGUUAUUUAGAUAGGUCAGAUAAGCUAAAAAACGGAAUUUUGUAGAUACGCUACUAUGACUCUAAACCCUCGAAACAUUCUGUUGAA